UCCUUCGGCCAUACCACCCUGAACGCGCCCAAUCUCGUCUGAUCUCGGAAGCUAAGCAGGGUCGGGCCUGGUCAGUACUUGGAUGGGAGUCCCUACUGAUUUUUGAUGGUA
rnacentral:rRNA from 1 species